rnacentral:rRNA from 1 species
AUGAUGCCUUACCACAAGGCCAUGUCCUCCGUCAUACGUCAAAGGCCGGACUUCCACACCUUGUACUCAAGUGAAGUGUUGGAUGAGUUUGUGGCUAUGAGGAUCUUGGACAAGACCACCGACAAUGCGGUGUUGCGUUCUCAAAGAGAAAAGAAGCCCAACCUUUCCUUGAAGGCGAAGGCUAGUGUGGAAGAAGAGGACGAAGAGGAAGAAGAGGAGAGCAACCCUGAAGAUACGAAAUAUGCUUAUCAUGAGCACAUGGCUCUCGCUUUAAGGAAAUUUUGGAGCAAGAAGAACACGAGGCCCAACUUUAACAAGAACAACUCAAGUGGCGUGAAGGGCAAGCAACGUGUGAGGACUUGCUAUAACUAUGGCAAUGUGAGCCAUUUUGUUGCGGAGUGCCCAUAUGAGAAGAGGGAAGACAAUGGUGGCAAGCUCAUCCGAAAAGACAAUGCCAAGUCCUUUCUCAACAAGAGCAACUUCACCAAGACGACUCCUCCCAAGGGGUUGGUGGUACAAGACGAGUACAAUGAGGAUGAUGACGAUGAUGAAGACGGUGAGACGGUUGUCAUGGACUCCGUUGCCAUUGCAACAACUCCACGGGUGUCCCUCUUCGACUCACCCAACGAGAACAUCACCGCCAAGUGCCUCAUGGCCAAAGCCACCAACAAGGUAACUCUCAACAUCAAAACUACCAUCACUACUAAUCCCUCUUUGACAGAUUGCAUUGAUGAAAGUGAGGGGUCUAAUGAGGAAGAAAAUGAAUUUGAGUCUUUUAUGAGUAAGCUCAAGGGUAAAUCCAAGAAGCACUUUGUUGCUCUCUUGGAACAACUUGGUGAAGCCAAUGUCAUGAUCGAGGCUCAUGAAGACACCAUCUCUAAGAUGGAGGGACAUAGUCGUGACUAUGCCGAUGAGAUAUCGGAUCUCUCUAAUGCUCUUGAGGAAGAGUGUGGUCAUUGUUUGGCUCUUGAGUAG